GUGCCAGCCGCCGCGGUAAAACGUAGGACGCGAGCGUUAUCCGGAGUUACUGGGCGUAAAGCGCGGGCAGGCGGUCUGACAAGUCUGAUGUGAAAUCUCCGGGCUUAACCGGGAGAGGCCAUUGGAAACUGACAGGCUGGAGGGCAGUAGAGGUAGGCGGAAUUCCGGGUGGAGUGGUGAAAUGCGUAGAGAUCCGGAGGAACACCAGAGGCGAAGGCGGCCUACUGGGCUGCACCUGACGCUGAGCCGCGAAAGCCAGGGGAGCGAACGGGAUUAGAAACCCCGGUAGUCCUGGCCGUAAACGAUGUGUGCUGGAUGGUGGGGGGUAAAACCCACACUGUCGAAGCUAACGCGAUAAGCACACCGCCUGGGGAGUACGGCCGCAAGGCUAAA
rnacentral:rRNA from 1 species